GUUCCGCAGAUCUCCAGGAGAAACAGCCCAGAUUUCCCCGCUGAUCUGUUUUACACCUGCACUCAACACUGAACAGGGAACAGCUGAGAGCAGACAACUGCCCCAAGGUCCUCCUGUGACGGCAGCACCCAUGGGAAUAAGCAGCGGCCUUCAUGCUCAACUUCAGUGGGAGGAGCAGGACACCAAGUCCAGGAAGGGACAGCUCCUCCUCCUGGGUUAAAGAUACCACAAGGAAACAAGCCCGGGGCUGGGGCUGGGGCUGUGUGGAAAGCGCUUUCUUGGCAUAUGUGAGACACCAAGUUGGAACCCCAGAACCAAAGAAUUAGUGAAGAAGAAACUCAACCUGCAGACCAGCACCCUGUAGGACAGGCCGACUCAGCUCUGGAGGAGUGGUAUCUACUUGGCUUCUGGUGAGGGUCUUGAGAGAGUUGCUGGCUUUCCAACCACCUGCGAUUUCUGCUCCACUCCCUGAGGAAUUAGUCUGAAGAUGGAGACACAGCUCGGUUGCUAAGAGUGUACAGCUCUUCAGAGGACCUGUGUUCUGUUUCCAGCACCCACAUGAGACAACUCACAGAGCUGUCACCCUGUCAUCUAAGAGCAAGCAGGGUGAGGGUCUGCCUGUACCAGCCCGAAAUGUCAUACACUCAUUUCCAAAAGACCCCCACUCUAAAACCAGAGCCAUAAAACAAGCCCAAGACUUCAAGAAACCUGGCACUCUUGGGAUUCCAGAAAACAGUCCACCCCCACCACACACCCUGAAGCUGGAGGUCUGAAAACCCGGCAUCUGACUUACCUCCCAUCCCACAGUUUCUGUACCCGAUGAAGCCAAGCUCUUCCACCUUCCUGUUCUUGACUACAAAAAACAUGAUUCUCAGACCCUGCCCAGUGUGUUCUCUCCUGUGCCCUGGACACAGAGUCACAGGGCCUGAGGACACAAACUCUCAGACAAAUGAAAGUUUGCUCUCACUGUUCUCAGGAGAACUGAGUCCAUGUUUCAUCUCCUCCACUGACUUACUUCCUACAAUCUAUGGCAGCCCUGCACAUGGGCUGGCCCUGCCCUGUGUGGGAUAACAGUGUUCUGUGCUGUGACAACAGGAGGCCUCCCUGGUCAGCAGAAAUAAAUGACAUACUCCCCCUGUCACAA